GACGAACGCUGGCGGCGUGCUUAACACAUGCAAGUCGAACGGAAAGGACCUGCUAUUGUGGGGUGCUCGAGUGGCGAACGGGUGAGUAACACGAGAGUAGCCUGCCCUUGACUUCGGGAUAACUUCAGGAAACUGGGGCUAAUACCGGCUAGGAGCUCCUGCUGCAUGGUGGGGGUUGGAAAGUUUCGGCGGUUGGGGAUGGACUCGCGGCUUAUCAGCUUGUUGGUGGGGUAGUGGCUUACCAAGGCUUUGACGGGUAGCCGGCCGGAGAGGGUGACCGGCCACAUUGGGACUGAGGUACGGCCCAGACUCCUACGGGAGGCAGCAGUGGGGAAUAUUGCACAAUGGGCGGAGGCCUGAUGCAGCAACGCCGCGUGCGGGAGGACGGCCGUCGGGUUGUAAACCGCUUUCGCCUGUGACGAAGCGUGAGUGACGGUAAUGGGUAAAGAAGCACCGGCUAACUACGUG
rnacentral:rRNA from 1 species